UUCGCCCUUAGAGUUUGAUCCUGGCUCAGGACGAACGCUGGCGGCGCGCCUAACACAUGCAAGUCGAACGAGCGAGAGAGAGCUUGCUUUCUCGAGCGAGUGGCGAACGGGUGAGUAACGCGUGAGGAACCUGCCUCAAAGAGGGGGACAACAGUUGGAAACGACUGCUAAUACCGCAUAAGCCCACGGCUCGGCAUCGAGCAGAGGGAAAAGGAGCAAUCCGCUUUGAGAUGGCCUCGCGUCCGAUUAGCUAGUUGGCGGGGUAACGGCCCACCAAGUCGACGAUCGGUAGCCGGACUGAGAGGUUGAUCGGCCACAUUGGGACUGAGACACGGCCCAGACUCCUACGGGAGGCAGCAGUGAGGGAUAUUGGGCAAUGGGGGAAACCCUGACCCAGCAACGCCGCGUGAGGGAUGACGGUUUUCGGAUUGUAAACCUCUGUCCUCUGUGAAGAUAGUGACGGUAGCAGAGGAGGAAGCUCCGGCUAACUACGUGCCAGCAGCCGCGGUAAUACGUAGGGAGCAAGCGUUGUCCGGAUUUACUGGGUGUAAAGGGUGCGUAGGCGGAUUGGCAAGUCAGAAGUGAAAUCCAUGGGCUUAACCCAUGAACUGCUUUUGAAACUGUUAGUCUUGAGUGAAGUAGAGGUAGGCGGAAUUCCCGGUGUAGCGGUGAAAUGCGUAGAGAUCGGGAGGAACACCAGUGGCGAAGGCGGCCUACUGGGCUUUAACUGACGCUGAGGCACGAAAGUGUGGGUAGCAAACAGGAUUAGAUACCCUGGUAGUCCAUGCCGUAAACGAUGAUUACUAGGUGUUGGGGGAUUGACCCCCUCAGUGCCGCAGCUAACACAAUAAGUAAUCCACGUGGGGAGUACGACCGCAAGGUUGAAACUCAAAGGAAUUGACGGGGGCCCGCACAAGCAGUGGAGUAUGUGGUUUAAUUCGAAGCAACGCGAAGAACCUUACCAGGUCUUGACAUCCGAUGCAUAGCACAGAGAUGUGUGAAAUCCUUCGGGACAUCGAGACAGGUGGUGCAUGGUUGUCGUCAGCUCGUGUCGUGAGAUGUUGGGUUAAGUCCCGCAACGAGCGCAACCCUUACUGUCAGUUACUACGCAAGAGGACUCUGGCAGGACUGCCGUUGACAAAACGGAGGAAGGUGGGGAUGACGUCAAAUCAUCAUGCCCUUUAUGACCUGGGCUACACACGUACUACAAUGGCGUUUAACAAAGAGAAGCAAGACCGCGAGGUGGAGCAAAACUCAAAAACAACGUCUCAGUUCAGAUUGCAGGCUGCAACUCGCCUGCAUGAAGUCGGAAUUGCUAGUAAUCGCGGAUCAGCAUGCCGCGGUGAAUACGUUCCCGGGCCUUGCACUCACCGCCCGUCA
rnacentral:rRNA from 1 species